rnacentral:rRNA from 1 species
GACGUAGGGCGCGAGCGUUGUCCGGAUUUAUUGGGCGUAAAGAGCUCGUAGGCGGCUUGUCGCGUCGACUGUGAAAACCCGCGGCUCAACCGCGGGCCUGCAGCCGAUACGGGCAGGCUAGAGUUCGGUAGGGGAGACUGGAAUUCCUGGUGUAGCGGUGAAAUGCGCAGAUAUCGGGAGGAACACCUAUGGCGAAGGCAGCUCGCUGGGACGUUACUGACGCUGAGACGCGAAAGCGUGGGGAGCAAACAGG